GCCCGGGUGGCGGAAUCGGUAGACGCAGUGGAUUCAAAAUCCACCGAUCGCAAGAUCUUACGAGUUCAAGUCUCGUCUCGGGUACCA
rnacentral:tRNA from 1 species